CAUUUGCAGGAUCUGCACCCCGGAUCUGAACCAGAGCAACCCAGAGCUGCAGGUCCCAUUUGUUGGCUAAGGUGGGGGAUUUUGCUUGAAGGGACUCUGGAUGCUACAACCUGCUCCAUUCAGAAAAGCCUGGAUACUUGGUACACAGCGAAGGCUAUGGAGGAACCGCCCUUUCAUAUUUCAUUUGGAGCCACUUGUGCCUUUUGAAUGAAAUUUGGUUGUAGAAGGAACAUGGAGGAAAGGACCCCGUAAAAUGGCAGCCAAGGCCAGUGGCACUGAAUUUCCACCAUCUAUGGCUCAAAGGUCUUCCAGUACACAGGCCUACAGAGAAUAAAGGAAAAGCCACUCGAUUUUCAUGACGAAUCUGUCCAUGGGGAGGAUUCCCAAACCAGAAGAGUCAGACUCAGCCCCAGGACCUGUGCAGGAGAUGGGAACGUGACAGUAAAAACUGUGCAGGGCAGCUUUUGUACACGCUGCUUAUUGAAAAACGUAUCACUGAGUAAUAUUCAGCAAUAUUUAAUGAACUGAAUGCAGAAGUCUUUUAACAGAGGAAGUAUGCUAAAGUGCGAACUCAAGCGUAGCAAACUCAGUUUCGAUAUCUAACGGAUGAUCUGUUUAUACCAUAAUACUCCCAUGAGACUGGGCAGCAACAGCAAAGGGCAGGAAAGCUGAAGGGUUUUAGGAGAGCUGCAUUAGUACUGGCAUGUGGAGAGAUGGAAGCACAGAUGAUUUUGUCCAAAAAAAAAAAAAAAAGAUUGAAUUUCUAUGUAAAGCCAAUAUUUUAAAAAAAGCCCUAUUUAUACAAAACCAACAAAUCUGCUCCAAGGAAACACACAAAGAGAUGACUGCAAAAUAAAGCUCACUUCUAUUUACCCAGACUUCUCUCUGCAAAAAUCUUUUCUGGAUUUGUGUGCAUGACUACAAAUAUACUGUCAUGUCACUCUGGGUAUUUGUCUAAAAAAAGAGUUGUUAUUUAAUGAUACACGCUCUUUGGCUGAAAUUUAGCCACAAAGCCACACAUUUUGCAAACCAAGUAUCCAUAGUAACUAACUGCACAAUAACUGACCAUGGGUAUUUAUCAGUUUCAAAAUUAUUCACAAAUGAAACUGUUACAUAUUUAAAUUAAGCCUGUACAUUUAAUGGGCUUAAGUCCAUGAAAAAAAAAAUGUUUAUCCUAAUUAGAGCUCAGUAAAUAAUAUUCAGCAAAUCAUUUACCCUCCAAAAGCAGAUUCUGCCUUCACUUUUGGAAUGCCUAAAAGUAAAUCAUGGAUCUGUCAAAAUUCACUCAGAAUCAGCUCAAACCUUUCCUUUUGUUACUAUUUUUGAACUCAAGGAACCAAUCAUGAACUAAGCAGUAAAAAUUCACACUCAAAUACUGAAAUUGUGACAGUUGCUGAGUCUGUAGAUACAUUUGGUGGCUUAAAAACUGAAAAUACUGUGGCUUAUUAUUGUGGUUGCAUUGCAGCAGAGAUGCUGAAUGUAAAUUACCAUCAAAAGGCAAGCUUGAAGAAG